AUCACGUUGAAACACUAGUUCCUGUACGAUCACCAAAGUUAAGCAAUGUCGAUCUUCGUCAGUACCUAGAUGGGUGACCGCUUGGGAAUACGGG